UCCCUGGUGGCUCAGAGGUUAAAGCAUCUGCCUGCAAUGCAGGAGACCUGGGCUCGAUCCUUGGGUUGGGAA
rnacentral:tRNA from 1 species